rnacentral:rRNA from 1 species
AAUAUUGCGCAAUGGGCGGAAGCCUGACGCAGCGACGCCGCGUGGGGGAUGACGGNCUNNGGGUUNUNAACCUCUUUCAGCAGNNNNNAAGUUGACGUGUACCUGCAGAAGAAGCGCCGGCUAACUACGUGCCAGCAGCCGCGGUAAUACGUAGGGCGCAAGCGUUGUCCGGAAUCAUUGGGCGUAAAGAGCUCGUAGGUGGCCGGUCGCGUCUGCCGUGAAAGCCCGCAGCUUAACUGCGGGUCUGCGGUGGAUACGGGCCGGCUAGAGGUAGGCAGGGGCAAGUGGAAUUCCUGGUGUAGCGGUGAAAUGCGCAGAUAUCAGGAGGAACACCGGUGGCGAAGGCGGCUUGCUGGGCCUUACCUGACGCUGAGGAGCGAAAGCGUGGGGAGCGAACAG